UUUUAGAAAUUAAUUUAAAGUCUAACCUGCCCACUGAAUAAUUUUAAAUGGCCGCAGUAUCCUAACUGUGCAAAGGUAGCAUAAUCAUUAGUCUUUUAAUUGAAGGCUGGAAUGAAUGGUUGGAUGAAAUAUUAACUGUUUCAUAAAAAUUUAUAAUAGAAUUUUAUUUUUUAGUCAAAAAGCUAAAAUAUUAUUAAAAGACGAGAAGACCCUAUAAAUCUUUAUAUUUAAAUAAUUUUAAUUAUUUAGAUAAAUUAAAUUAUAAUUAUUUUAAAUAUUUUAUUGGGGUGAUAUUAAAAUUUAAUAAACUUUUAAUUUAUAAUUAACAUAAAUUAAUGAAUUAUUGAUCCAUUUAUUAUGAUUAAAAAAUUAAGUUACUUUAGGGAUAACAGCGUAAUUUUUUUAGAGAGUUCAUAUUGAUAAAAA
rnacentral:rRNA from 1 species